rnacentral:tRNA from 4 species
GCGGAUGUAGCCAAGUGGAUCA